CCUACGGGAGGCAGCAGUGGGGAAUAUUGGACAAUGGGCGAAAGCCUGAUCCAGCAAUGCCGCGUGAGUGAAGAAGGCCUUAGGGUUGUAAAGCUCUUUUACCCGGGAUGAUAAUGACAGUACCGGGAGAAUAAGCUCCGGCUAACUCCGUGCCAGCAGCCGCGGUAAU
rnacentral:rRNA from 1 species